GUUCCCCAACCCAGUCCUCAUGGACCUCCAACAGUCCAGGUUUUGUCAGCAUCUCCACUGAUAUAAAACCGUGAAAUACAUAAAUCCUGGACUGUUGGUGGUCCAUGAGUAUUGGGUUGGGGAA